GACGAACGCUGGCGGCGUGCUUAACACAUGCAAGUCGAACGGAAAGGCCCUGCUUUUGUGGGAUGCUCGAGUGGAGAACGGGUGAGUAACACGUGAGUAACCUGCCCUUGACUUUGGGAUAACUUCAGGAAACUGGGGCUAAUACCGGAUAGGAGCUCCUGCUGCAUGGUGGGGGUUGGAAAGUUUCGGCGGUUGGGGAUGGACUCGCGGCUUAUCAGCUUGUUGGUGGGGUAGUGGCUUACCAAGGCUUUGACGGGUAGCCGGACUGAGAGGGUGACCGGCCACAUUGGGACUGGGAUACGGCCCAGACUCCUACGGGAGGCAGCAGUGGGGAAUAUUGCACAAUGGGCGGAAGCCUGAUGCAGCAACGCCGCGUGCUGGAUGUCGGCCUUCGGGUUGUAAACCGCUUUCGCCUGUGACGAAGCGUGAGUGACGGUAAUGAGUAAAGAAGCACCGGCUAACUACGUG
rnacentral:rRNA from 1 species